rnacentral:lncRNA from 10 species
UGUUGUUAUACAUAUAAUUUUAUUAUGCAUAUAAUUAUAUGUAUGCCAACAUUUAAUAUGCACAUAUUUUACAUAUAAAUAUUCCAUAAUCAGUUUUAGUCACUGUAAUCUUGUAACCAAUUUAGUUUUCCUUCUCUACCCACUUUAACAAACUCUAUAAUCCUCGCUGGGUGCAGUGGCAUGUGCUACUGGGGAAGCUGAGGCAGGAGGAUUACUUUAGCCCAAGGGUUUGUGGCUGCAAUGAGCUAUGAUCAAGUCUAUGAAUAGCCACUGUACUCUGGCUUGGGCAACAUAGUGAGACCACAACGUGUUUAAAAAAAAAAAAAAAACCUUUCUAUAUUGUAGUUGAUAUUUCUACCGCACAUCUUCUCAUAAAAUUAAUUGUUUGGAUUCCAUUCCUUCUUAGGUUACCCCUACUUUGGAAAUGUAGGACUAUGCUUAGUGAAUGUGUGUGUGUGUGUGUGUGUAUACAUAUAGGUGUGUGUGUGUGUAUGUGUGUGUGUAUGUGUAUAAUUUUACUUCCAUUUGUUUUUACCCUUAUAACCUCUAAGAAAUUAUUCCUUCCCUAACACAGCCAACAUUUUAAAAAAGUUACCAACAUCAACUACCUGAAAUAGUAUGCACAAUUCUAUGUGCAAAGCAUUUUAAUGCAGGCUUUCAGAGUUUUCAUUUGCAUUUCAAAGAGAUAACAGUCAAAAAAGUUGUACAUUCAAAAGGGAUUAAUUAGAUAAAGUCCAGCGUUGCCACAUAAAGUACAGGACAUCCAGUUAAAUUUAAAUAAGGGAUAAACAACAUUUUCAAAAUAUAAGCAUAUCCUGUUUAAUAUUUGAAACACACUAAAAUGUAUUGGUUAUUUAUGUGAUAUUUUAAAGUAAACUGGGUGACCUGUAUUUUUAUUUGCUAAUAUUGUCAAUACUAGUUUAGAAUUACUGCACUAGAUCCUUCACCUCUUCCUUGUCCUCCUUCCCAUUUGUUUUCCUAAAAUAGCAACAUUUCUAUUCAGAUCAAGCUCUCAAUUUCUGAGAUCAAAAUAAAACCUAAAUUAUUUUCUAGCAUUUAAUCUUUCCCAAUUAUUCAAUGAUUAAUUUUCACUCUGCCAGAUACUAACUUUGAUAUUGUGGAUCCAAAGAUAGACUGGAUAAAAGAAAUUCACAGUCUAGUGGUACGAUAUAUCACUGGUGGGAAAUAACUCCUUACUAAAUAACCUAAUAAAAUAAUGUGAAAUCAGUAGAGAAACAGCUCAACCUUCUAGUAGAACCAUCAGGCUUUACACAAGAUGCAGUACCCAUGAAUCCUGAAUGAAAGGAGAAUGUAUUUUACCAUCAUGGAAAACAACAUGAUAAAAUAGAAAAUCAGGUAUAUUAUAGGGGAUGAAGAAAUUAUUGUUCAUUGGUAUAAUCUUACAAUACAUAAGUAUACAAAGUUUUCUUGGUAGGAUCUUUCAGACUUUUAGAUUAGAGUUAAUAAGAGUAGGCCAAGCCUCAGGGAAGCGUACUUUUUAAACCCAUUGAUUUCAUACACACAUAUAGAUUACUUGAGUUUACAAGUAGUACUUCUUAAAAAGCAAUUAUAUGCAAUAUGUAUAUUCAUGAACCUCCUUACUGAGUAAAGAAAGAUAAGCAUUCUUUUCUUCUUUUAAAAUUUGUUUUUUGCGCAACAUCUGCCUUUUUCGCUAAAUGGAAAGUCCUUGGGAGCAGAAAGUCCCUGUCCCCAGCCCCCUUCUCUUUCACACACCCAUGCCCACACACAAUCUGACAAAAUAAGUUGUGUGAGUGUUAGGAGGGCGACAGAAUUGUGGAGAGCACCCACAAUAGGAGGCCAUUAAACACUUGGCUCCCCUGGUAUUAGCAGUGAUUCAGUUUCUGAACAUCUUUUCUGGAAUGAAUUCACUUUUCUGGAAUGAAUUCUAGAAGUUUAGUGAUUACUGAAACUUCUAGAAGUAUAUCAUAGUUACUUUCCAGGAUAGGAUACAGUAACAGGUUGAAUUGUGUCCCUUUCACAAAAAAAAAUUAUAGGUUGAAGUCCUAUCCCUCAGUAUCUCAGAAUGGAGGUAUUUCCUAUUUGGAAAUAAGGUCAUUAAAAAUGGGAAUAAGUUUUAGUGUCCUAUAGUACUGUAGGAUGACUAUAGUAACCAACAAUAUACAGUUUCAAAUAGCUAGAAGAUAUUGAACGUUCCCAAUACAAGGAAUGAUAAAUGUUUGGGAUGAUCGAUAUGUGAAUUACCCUGAUCUAAUCACUAUACAUUAUAUGUGUCAUAACAUUAUGUACCCCAUAGACAUGUAUGAUUAUUAUGUGUCAAUUAAAUUUUCUAAAGGAAAAUGUUAUUAGAUGAGGUCAUACUGGAGUAGAAUGGGCCCCUAACCCAAUAUGACUGGGUUCCUUAUAUAAAGAAGAAAUUUGGAUACAGAGACAUGCAUACAGAAGGAAUGCCAUGUGAGCAGGAAGCAGAGUGUGAUCGUGCAGCAGAAGCCAAGGAAUGCUCAAGGUUGUCAGCAAACACACUGGAUGACAGGCACGGAAAAGAUUCUCCUUCACAGCCCUCGGAAGGAACCAACCCUGCCAACACCUUGAUCUCAGAUCUCUACCCUCCAGAUCUGUGAGACAAUAAAUUGACUGUUUAAGCCACUCAAUG